AAGUCGUAACAAGGUUUCCGUAGGUGAACCUGCGGAAGGAUCAUUAUUACGAAAUCAAAAAUCGUAACCCCAAACAACAAAUUGUGCAUUUCUGUACUGUUCCGGUAGUUUCAUUUGACCUUUGUAAAGGCUUACUUUGAUGUGCUUGCUUCAAAAACAUGCAUAUUCAAAGCACUUCUGAGCAGAUGAAGUGAACGGGUCUUUUUCGUCGAAUGAUUUCAAACUACCGGUUAGUAAUAUCUGCUCACACACUUAACAAACCAUUAACCCCAUGUAACUAUUUUGAACUAAAUACAUCUGACGCAUGCAUCUCAUGUAUGUGUCUGAAUCAAAACCGAACUUAAGAACAACUCUUAACAACGGAUAUCUUGGUUCUC
rnacentral:misc_RNA from 1 species